UGAAAUGUGAGGACACAAGAUAUGUGAGAGUCCAGGGGUGGAAUGAUGUGGUUUGGCUGGGGCCCCACCCAAAUUUCACCUGAAUUCCCACGUGUUGUGGGAGGAAUCUGGUGGAAGGUGGUUGAAUCAUGGGGGCAGGUCUUUCUCACGCUGUUCUCGUGAUGGUGAAUAAGUCUCGCAAGAUCUGAUGGUUUAAAAAGGGGAGUUUCUCUGCACAGGAUCUCUUUAUGCCUGCUGCCCUCCAUGUAAGAUGUGACUUGCUCCUCCUUGCCUUCCGCCAUGAUUGUGAGGUUUCAGCCACGUGGAACUGUACUGGACUCGAGUGUUUUGCAAACAGAAAAUCAUCACCCACAGUUUACCAGGUGUUAUGUGUAUGUAAGAGAGAGAAGUUCUUCAAUAUGGGCAUCCAAGCGCUCUAGAAUGUGAUGAGACCUCAGUUCCUCCUCUUCCAAAAAUCUGGUAGCUAUUGAACCAAGGGGAGAUACAGGCAAGGAACACUGGAAGAGACACAAAUUUUGACAUGUGUAAAUAAGUAGAAUAUUAUAUUUCUAAGAUACACUGUUCAUGACAUUUUCUAACUAGCAAUAUUAAAAGGUGAUUUUUUUCCUCUGAAGAUACUUUUU
rnacentral:lncRNA from 1 species